GGAUUAGAAACCCCGGUAGUCCACGCCGUAAACGAUGGGCACUAGGUGUGGGAGGUGUCGACUCCUCCCGUGCCGGAGCUAACGCAUUAAGUGCCCCGCCUGAGGAGUACGGUCGCAAGACUGAAACUCAAAGGAAUUGACGGGGGCCUGCACAAGCGGUGGAGCAUGUGGUUUAAUUCGAAGCAACGCGAAGAACCUUACCAGGUCUUGACAUCCUCUGACAAUCCUAGAGAUAGGACGUCCCCUUCGGGGGGCAGAGUGACAGGUGGUGCAUGGUUGUCGUCAGCUCGUGUCGUGAGAUGUUGGGUUAAGUCCCGCAACG
rnacentral:rRNA from 1 species